AACGAACGCUGGCGGCAGGCCUAACACAUGCAAGUCGAGCGCGCCCUUCGGGGUGAGCGGCGGACGGGUGAGUAACGCGUGGGAACGUGCCCUUUUCUACGGAAUAGCCUCGGGAAACUGAGAUUAAUACCGUAUACGCCCUUUGGGGGAAAGAUUUAUCGGAAAAGGAUCGGCCCGCGUUGGAUUAGGUAGUUGGUGGGGUAAUGGCCUACCAAGCCGACGAUCCAUAGCUGGUUUGAGAGGAUGAUCAGCCACACUGGGACUGAGACACGGCCCAGACUACUACGGGAGGGAGCAGUGGGGAAUAUUAGACAAUGGGGGCAACGCUGAUCUAGCCAUGCGGCGUGAGUGAUGAAGGCCUUAGGGUAGUAAAGCUCUUUAAGCUGGGAAGAUAAUGACGGUACCAGCAGAAGAAGCCCCGGCUAACUCCGUG
rnacentral:rRNA from 1 species